rnacentral:rRNA from 1 species
AGGGUUCGAUUAUGGCUCAGGACGAACGCUGGCGGCGUGCCUAAUACAUGCAAGUAGAACGCUGAAGGAGGAGCUUGCUUCUCUGGAUGAGUUGCGAACGGGUGAGUAACGCGUAGGUAACCUGCCUGGUAGCGGGGGAUAACUAUUGGAAACGAUAGCUAAUACCGCAUAAGAGUAGAUGUUGCAUGACAUUUGCUUAAAAGGUGCACUUGCAUCACUACCAGAUGGACCUGCGUUGUAUUAGCUAGUUGGUGGGGUAAGGGCUCACCAAG